rnacentral:rRNA from 1 species
CGUUAGCGGCGCGCCUAACACAUGCAAGUCGCACGAGAAAGGGAGCAAUCCCCGGUACAGUGGCGCACGGGUGAGUAACACGUAGAUGACCUUCCCUGGAGUGGUGGAUAACCUGCCGAAAGGCGGGCUAAUACAGCAUGGGACCACAUGGUUUUGACCGAGUGGUGAAAGCGGGCCUCUGUUCACAAGCUCGCGCUCUGGGAUGGGUCUGCGUCCCAUCAGCUAGUUGGUGAGGUAAUGGCUCACCAAGGCAUCGACGGGUAGCUGGUCUGAGAGGAUGACCAGCCACACUGGAACUGAGACACGGUCCAGACUCCUACGGGAGGCAGCAGUGGGGAAUCUUGCGCAAUGGGCGAAGGCCUGACGCAGCGACGCCGCGUGGGUGAUGAAGGCCUUCGGGUUGUAAAGCCCUGUGGGGAGGAACGAACCGUACGGGGGCGAACACCCUCCGUACCUGACGGUACCUCCUUAGCAAGCAUCGGCUAACUCUGUG